GGCAGAGUAAAUAUAGCCUCAGGCCCCAGAUUCCAUCAGAUCUUGGAAGCUAAGCAAGGUUAGCCCCAGUUAGUGCUUGGAUGGGAGACCACCCAAGAAUAAUAAGCUCUGUUA
rnacentral:rRNA from 1 species